rnacentral:rRNA from 1 species
GUGAGGAAUAUUGGUCAAUGGGCGCAAGCCUGAACCAGCCAUGCCGCGUGCAGGAAGACGGUCCUAUGGAUUGUAAACUGCUUUUAUUUGGGAAUAAACUCCGGUACGUGUACCGGCCUGAAGGUACCAAAUGAAUAAGCACCGGCUAACUCCGUGCCAGCAGCCGCGGUAAUACGGAGGGUGCAAGCGUUAUCCGGAAUCAUUGGGUUUAAAUGGUCCGCAGGCGGUCUUAUAAGUCAGUGGUGAAAGCCUACAGCUCAACUGUAGAACUGCCAUUGAUACUGUAGGACUUGAAUUCGAUCGAAGUGGGCGGAAUGUGACAUGUAGCGGUGAAAUGCUUAGAUAUGUCACAGAACACCGAUAGCGAAGGCAGCUCACUAGGUCUGGAUUGACGCUCAGGGACGAAAGCGUGGGGAGCAAACAGGAUUAGAUACCCGGGUAGUCC